rnacentral:rRNA from 1 species
CCCAGACUCCUACGGGAGGCAGCAGUGAGGAAUAUUGGUCAAUGGGCUUACGCCUGAACCAGCCAAGUCGCGUGAGGGAAGACUGCCCUAUGGGUUGUAAACCUCUUUUGUCAGGGAGCAACGCCGGCUACGUGUAGCCGGACUGAGAGUACCUGAAGAAAAAGCAUCGGCUAACUCCGUGCCAGCAGCCGCGGUAAUACGGAGGAUGCGAGCGUUAUCCGGAUUUAUUGGGUUUAAAGGGUGCGUAGGCGGAAUGCCAAGUCAGCGGUAAAAGCGCGGGGCUCAACCUCGCUCCGCCGUUGAAACUGGCGUUCUUGAGUGGGCGAGAAGUAUGCGGAAUGCGUGGUGUAGCGGUGAAAUGCAUAGAUAUCACGCAGAACUCCGAUUGCGAAGGCAGCAUACCGGCGCCCAACUGACGCUGAAGCACGAAAGCGUGGGUAUCGAACAGGAUUAGAUAC